rnacentral:rRNA from 1 species
UGCNAGUCGAGCGANAACCCGCAGGGUGNCAGCGGCUUACGCCCUAGUAACGGGUAGGUGACGUACCCUCGGGUCGGGGAUAGCCACGGGAAACUGUGGGUAAUACCCGAUAAUCUCUUGAGGCGUGAUGGUCUUGAGAGCAAAGGUGUGAUUCCACCGGAGGAGCGGCCUGCUUCGUAUUAGCUUGUUGGUGAGGUAACGGCUCACCAAGGCGACGAUGCGUAGGGGGUGUGAGAGCAUGACCCCCACCACUGGGACUGAGAUACUGCCCAGACACCUACGGUUUUUUUUUUUUUCGAGAAUCUUCGGCAUUGGGCGCAUGCUUGACCGAUCGACGCCGCGUGUGGAAUGAAGG